GAUUUCUGACGAACCGGAGUGGCCCGUUUCCUUUCUGGGAAUGAGUGCCGCUUUGAGUUUGUCAUCCUUCCAGAGAGCUGCGUCUACCGUUUACUCGGCCGGACGUAUGCGAUCUGGAUCUAUUACUUUGAAAAAAUUAGAGUGUUUAAAGCAGGCUUAUGCUAUGAAUACAUUAGCAUGGAAUAAUAAUUUAGGACUUUGGUUCUAUUUUGUUGGUUUCUAGGACUGAAGUAAUGAUUGAUAGGGAUAGUUGGGGGUGCUAGUAUUCCGCGGCCAGAGGUGAAAUUCUUGGAUUCGUGGAAGACUAACUACUGCGAAAGCAUU
rnacentral:rRNA from 1 species